UUUUUAAUUGACAUAGACCA
rnacentral:tRNA from 1 species